rnacentral:sRNA from 15 species
AUUUUGGGACUAGUCUAUACAUUGAAAGUUGCAAAAGAUCCUGGUCUUACAAUUUAAAAAUUUUGAAUAGUCAGGAGUGGCGGUAAAGUCUUUUGGCAGGCGCGCAGGUAGUCUUUUUCCUCGUCCGUUCCUUAAUAAAGAUUUAAAUCCAAACAAAUUUUAUGGUUUUUGUUUAAAAAAAAAAAUUAACUCUAAACUUGCAGUUAUUGCACAACUGAGUGAAUAACAUGAUAGUCUUAUGACAUAGCUAUCGCGAAACACUUAAUAUUUUGCUCAGCAGCGGUAGACUGCCGAUUUUCUAUCGCCCUUGCACCGAAGGCUGAAAUCGUUGGAAAAUAUUGCGAAUCUAUUUUGUGCUCAUCAGGGAGGAUUGGUUUCCUUCAAAUUUCGGAGCUUUUGGUUGAAUCACACAAACCAUAUCGGGCAAAAUGGCCAAGAACCUUGAAAACUUAAAUGGGUAUUAUUAAUGAUCGUAUUUCAUAAGACUUCAAGGCUUGGCAAAAAAGUUGAAACAGACUGAAAUCAUUUUUAAAAAUGGUGAAAUUGAAUUAUAGACGUAGCAUUUCAUGAAGUUAAGACAGAAGAUAUAAAAUAACUAUUCCAGCGGAUCCGGUUUUGUUGUUUGCUCUUAUAUUUUUCAGAAUCGGUCGUGAAGUACAUUGACGGAUAUUAAAAGAAAACACCCUAAAUCAAAAAUCUGAAGGCAAAACAAUGACUGAUAAUGCCACAAAACUAAAAUGUUACAAAAAAACUGUUUUCUGUGUUUCAAAAAUAAAACUUUCCUUUCCGUCAUUGGAAGAUCUAAUUAACUAUCUUGGUUCAACUGUUAGUACGCGUACUAUAAUAAAUAGACUGAUUGGUGUCGAUUAAAAGAACCAAAUAUUUGGAAAGGUACCAGUUCAUACAUAUGUAAACAAUUUUCAGAAACCGAUUCAAUUUCGAGAGGGGUAUUUUUCUCGUCCAAAUUGGAAUUUUAUGCUGACUGAUUGUUAAAUCUUAUUGUUUUGUGAUAUUUAUAUACAUAACUAUACGCUUUCCAUAAAAAUUGUGAAACUUAAAAAAAAAGUUCACUAAAGAAAAUUUUUAAAAAUACGAAAAAAUAUGCCUUUUUUCCUGAACGUAUACAUUUGUAUACUGAAUUUUAUGCCCUUCAAGUAUGAUUUCGAUUUUUACACUUCAUGCACCUUUAUUACAGUGUUUUUGUCUGAGGCAUUUAUGAUUUAUUACAAUUAAAUGACAAGUGAAUAUUGUGAUGAAAUUACCACGUGUAUUGAACCCUUUAUAAUUUCAUUCACUACAUAUGUAUGUACAUACGUUUAUGUACAUCGGUGCAUAUUGCUAUCAUAUACUUAACCCGUCUUUCUUAUUUACGUUCACGAACAACUUAUUCAAUAAAUUGAUCCUUCAUGUACAUAGAUACAUGUGCAUAUGUAAACCUUUGAAUGUGAAUAUGCAUUCACAUACAUACAUUAAUUUAAUUGGCGUUUGCUUAACACAAUUUUCUUUAUUAUUGUAUGUAUGUAUAUUCUAGAUAACGCUGAGUUGACGGCUAUGACACAAAUUAUAAAUUAUUUUAUUUAGUUUUAUUUCUGAAUAUGUUUCCUUUUGUGUAUGUGAGUUAUUUUCAAAUGAACACGUACCCUUUUUUUAAUUUAAAUGCCAAUUUUUUUUGUCGAAACAUUUUAAUUGGUUUACUUUGUAAUGUAAAUUGCUAAUUACAAAGAUACACUUUUCAUUUAUUUUAUUCGCUUUCGGUAUAUAUAUGUAGAUAGUAGGCAAAAUUAUAAACAUUUAACUAAAAUAUCUAUGUAUUUGUGCAUUUUUGAGAAAUAGUAUCGUAUUUAGAAACAAAUUAAAAAUUGUAUAUAAAUUUUAAUUUUUAUAUUUGCAGGGAAAAUAUUCUGAUACUAACAUAUUUAAGAGUCUGCGUAGACUUAUAAUUUCUGGGUUAAAAUUAUAGAAAUAAAAUAAAGCAUUUAACUUAUGGUAUGUAGCUUUGUUUUAUUUUAAGCUAAAUUUGCAGAAAUGCAUACAUUAUUAAGUUUUGAGCUUACGGUUUAUAAAAAAAUACGAAUCAUAUGGGAGUGCAUCGAGCGUAACAUUGUGACGUACUUAUAAAAUUACACAGCUCAAAAAAAUGCAAUGGUCUAAUACACUGCAGACUUUAAAAUACCAUUAACACACCAAUACGUCAUAAGUAUACGAAGGUUGAAAACAAUGUUCUUGUGAUGAAUUUGAGUUUAGUUCAAUACACGUAUGUUUGUGAUUUCUUGCUGAAAUUUAUUACAUUUAUGAUAGCUUUAACUGCUUGCAAGCUGUUUUUCUAUCGGACCCAAUCCGUGCAUCCGUGCAUACUGUAAAAAUUAUACAACAGUAUGUUUAAAUCUGUAUCUGCAAGUUCGCGACAACAGCAUCAAAUAAUUUUAAAUAUUAAGAAAUCCAUCUAACCGUGAUGCAUGGCCGACAUGGGUUAUUCUGCUGGGAAAAAAGGCAAAAACUAUAAAAACUGUAAUUAAUAUAUUUGUAUGAGGAAAAAUCCUUUCCUUGCAGAUAAAAAUAAGAUAUUUAAAAACUGGAAAACCUAAUAAUAAAUGGGGAAAACAAUUGAACAAAAUGUUUGUGUAUGAUAGUAUCUAUAUUUUCAAGCGCUGUUAUUGCAAAAUGUGUUUUAUUUUACUUUUCCGCCCAUCACUUCCGCUAUUCUAUGUAUGCAUAUGUAUGUAUGUAUAAGAUUUUGUUAAACAUUUAUGAAUCGUUUAUGUAUUGUAGGAUUUAAAGUGGUUUUUCAAUUUAUUGUUGUAGCUUAUAUGGCCAUCAUAUUAUAUGUAAAUAGUUGUUCACUAAUACAUAAUUAUGUUAUUUAAAUCAUUAUUAAUUUUUUUGUAUAUAAAUUAAGGACUUAAACAUAAUAAGAAAAUUUUUUAUAAAGUGUUUUGUUUACUUGUUUCAUUACUUGAUUUUUAAAGUUUUUUACGCAAUAAUUUUAAUAUACCUUUAGUUUUUGCUGUGAUUUUUAUAUUUUGUAAAUGCUUUAACUUUAUUUGACUUCGCUUCAUCAGGAUUUACUUUCUGAAGUUAGGUUCAUACGUGAAAAAUUGUAUUUUGUUUGAAGUCAUACAUGCCUUCAAUGAUACUGUUUCAAUGUGCAAACGACUAAUGCGUCAUUGUGUUGUACUCCUGGUCGUGCGCACUCGUCCACUCAACAAAUAAGACAUGAAGCAAGUUUUCUGUACGUACGUUU